AACGAACGCUGGCGGCAUGCCUAACACAUGCAAGUCGAACGAGACCUUCGGGUCUAGUGGCGCACGUGUGCGUAACGCGUGGUAACCUGCCCUUAGGUUCGGAAUAACUCCCCGAAAGGGGUGCUAAUACCGGUUAAUGUCUUCGCACCAAAGAUUUCUCGCCUUUGGAUGGGCCCGCGUUGGAUUAGCUAGUUGGUAGGGUAAAAGCCUACCAAGGCGACGAUCCAUAGCUGGUCUGAGAGGAGGAUCAGCCACACUGGGACUGAGACACGGACCAGAAUCGGACGGGAGGCAGCAGUGGGGAAUAUAGGACAAUGGGCGAAAGCCUGAGCCAGCAAUGCCGCGUGAGUGAUGAAGGGCUUAGGGUUGUAAAGCUGUUUUACACGGGAUGAUAAUGACAGUACCGGGAGAAUAAGCUCCGGCUAACUCCGUG
rnacentral:rRNA from 1 species